UACAGGGGGGGCAAGCGUUGUUCGGAAUUACUGGGCGUAAAGGGUUUGUAGGUGGCUCGCUAAGUCAGACGUGAAAUCCCUCAGCUUAACUGGGGAACUGCGUCUGAUACUGGUGAGCUUGAGUGCAGGAGAGGAACGCGGAAUUCCAGGUGUAGCGGUGAAAUGCGUAGAUAUCUGGAGGAACACCGGUGGCGAAGGCGGCGUUCUGGACUGCAACUGACACUGAGAGACGAAAGCCAGGGGAGCAAAC
rnacentral:rRNA from 1 species